AGGUUAUCAGGAGCAGGGUACAGCUCAGACUUGCUUUGCUUCUCAUGGAGUGGUGUUUGCUCUUUCUCAGCAACACUUUGUCGGAACCAUCUGCCACCUGCCUGUCAGCUUUUGCACCUCAGCAGACUACCUUGCGUCCAGUGUUGAGAACAUUAAUGCUGCUAGUACUCCAUUUCUGAAACUUGACUAGUGUGUCUUAUGUACACCGAUAAGGUCUGUCUAAAGUUCAGUACAUGCAUUUAAUCAA
rnacentral:lncRNA from 1 species